CCCAACAUUUCGGCCCAGAGGGCGUAUCGUCGCACAGGGGUUCUUCUCUUUCUUCUCUCCUUUCUCUUCUCUUCCGUUCUCCAGCUGCAUUUCCUUCCUCUCACUCUCCCGAGUGUUCUUCUCGGGGUUCCUUCCGGCCGCGCCCUCGUCGGAGUCCUCCCUUCUCUAGGGGAUUCCGUCGAGUUUCGCUUCCUCCCGGAUUCGUCUUCGACUCCUAGUUACAGACUUACCAUGCGCUUGCGCUGGAAGCAUAACGAGGGCGGCCCAUCGGCGGUGAGAUGGACGGGGGCGGAGAGGACGGGAAGCAGCAGCCUCACCUGGUGCUGGCGCACAAGCUGUUCCUGCUGUCACACCCCGAUGUCGACAACCUCGCCAAAGAUCGACCUCCACGUCGACGUUCUCACGGCAAUCAAAUACGGCGAUAGUACCAGCGCCGUGCCUCCUCCUUUCCUCGAAUACGGCUUCUGAUUGCCGAUGGGAUCUGGGAUUUGAUCUGAUUGGUAUGUUUGGUACAGACAUGGCGGCGCUAUACGAGUCGUUGGCGGCCGACGGCAUGCUGGAGAUGGACGCGGCGCUGCUGGCCAAGAUGUGCGCCAGGAUUGACGAGAUCCGGAAGUUCAACGAGAAAAACUGUAUACCUGUUCUUGUGUUUGUUUAUGAUUUGUUUGAUUCGAUUUUGUUCAUUUGGUGCUCUUUCUGUAUGUUAUGAUUACCCCAUUAUCAAGUUUUUCUCCUAGUCAUCUGUAUUUGUUGUUUCUUAAUUAAUGAUUUGCAUUUUCCACACUAACAAAUUGUUCCACACUAACAAAUUGUUCCACACUAACAAUUUCUUUCUUUCUUUUUCUUUUUUUCCCUCCCAAAAAGUUCUGGUGGAAUUCUUUUUUCCAUUUGUUUUAAAGGAAUAAUUUUGUUCCAAUAGAACAUUUUUCCGUUUCACUGAUAAGAUUUGAUCCAACUGAACAAAUUUUAGUUUUUGUUCUGACGGAACUUUUUUUUUUAUUCUACUAGAACAAUUUGUUCCAGUGGAACAAUUUGAUCCAAAUGAUCAAAUUUUAGUUUUUGCUCUAAUGGAAUAUUUUUUAUUCUAGUGGAACAAUUUAUUCCAGUGGAAUAAUUUUAUUCUAUUUUGUUCCAGUGGAACAAUUUGUUUCAAUCACAGGGGGCGUUAGCCCAAACUAAUUAUCCCAAAUAACUACUAAAAUAUUCUUCAAGACUACAGUGUAUACAAAAUUUCUUUCUUUUUUUUCUCCCCCAAAAAGUUCUGGUGGAACACUUUUUUCCAUUUGUUUUGAAGAAAUGACUUUGUUCCAAUAGAAACAUUUUUCCGUCCCAAUGAUAAGAUUUGAUCCAACU